CAGUUGGAAACGACUGCUAAUACCCCAUACUCCUUCUUAUCAUAAGGUAAGUUGGGAAAGAUUUAUUGCUAAAGGAUGGGGCUUUAUGGUAUCAGCUAGUUGGUGGGGUAAUGGCCUACCAAGGCGAUGACGCCUACCUGGUCUGAGAGGAUGAUCAGGCACACUGGAACUGAGACACGGUCCAGACUCCUACGGGAGGCAGCAGUGGGGAAUAUUGCACAAUGGGGGAAACCCUGAUGCAGCAACGCCGCGUGGAGGAUGACGCAUUUCGGUGUGUAAACUCCUUUUAUAAGGGAAGAUAAUGACGGUACCUUAUGAAUAAGCACCGGCUAACUCCGUGCCA
rnacentral:rRNA from 1 species